CAAUAGCGUAUAUUAAAGUUGUUGCAGUUAAAAAGCUCGUAGUUGGAUUUCUGGUUGAAGCGACCGGUCGGGCGUUGAUCCGUCUGCACUGGAGUCGGUUUUGGCCAUCCUCUAGGAAAGUGCGUCUGGUAUUAAGUUAUCGGGCGUAUGAUCCUGGUCUUUUACUGUGAAAAAAUUAGAGUGUUUAAAGCAGGCCUUCGCCUUGAAUACAUUAGCAUGGAAUAAUAAGAUAGGACUUUGGUCUAUUUUGUUGGUUUGCAGACCGAAGUAAUGAUUAAUAGGGAUAGUUGGGGGUAUUUAUAUUCCGAUGUCAGAGGUGAAAUUCUUAGAUUUUCGGAAGAUAAACUUAUGCGAAAGCAUUUACCAAGGAUGUUUUCAUUAA
rnacentral:rRNA from 1 species